rnacentral:rRNA from 1 species
GUGACAGCCGCCGCGGUAAUACAGAGGCCCCAAGCGUUACUGAGAAUCACUGGGUUUAAAGGGUGCGUAGGUGGUCCGUUAAGUCCGUUGUGAAAGCCCUUGGCUCAACCAAGGAACCGCUUCGGAUACUGGCGGACUUGAGGCUAGUAGGGGUCACUGGAACUGACGGUGGAGCGGUGAAAUGCGUAGAUAUCGUCAGGAACGCCGAUGGUGAAGACAGGUGACUGGGCUAGUUCUGACACUGAGGCACGAAAGCGUGGGGAGCGAACGGGAUUAGAAACCCUAGUAGUCC